AUUGAACGCUGGCGGCAGGCUUAACACAUGCAAGUCGAGCGGGGGAAGGUAGCUUGCUACCGGACCUAGCGGCGGACGGGUGAGUAAUGCUUAGGAAUCUGCCUAUUAGUGGGGGACAACAUCUCGAAAGGGAUGCUAAUACCGCAUACGUCCUACGGUAGAAAGCAGGGGAUCUUCGGACCUUGCGCUAAUAGAUGAGCCUAAGUCGGAUUAGCUAGUUGGUGGGGUAAAGGCCUACCAAGGCGACGAUCUGUAGCGGGUCUGAGAGGAUGGUCCGCCACACUGGGACUGAGACACGGCCCAGACUCCUACGGGAGGCAGCAGUGGGGAAUAUUGGACAAUGGGGGGAACCCUGAUCCAGCCAUGCCGCGUGUGUGAAGAAGGCCUUAUGGUUGUAAAGCACUUUAAGCGAGGAGGAGGCUACUUUAGCUAAUACCUGGAGAUAGUGGACGUUACUCGCAGAAUAAGCACCGGCUAACUCUGUGCCAGCCGCCGCGGUAA
rnacentral:rRNA from 1 species